GACGUAGGUGGCGAGCGUUGUUCGGAAUCACUGGGCAUAAAGCGCACGUAGGCGGCCAAGUCAGUCAGGUGUGAAAUACCUCGGCUCAACCGAGGAACUGCGCCUGAUACUGCUUGGCUUGAGGUCCGGAGGGGAGAGUGGAAUUCCCGGUGGAGCGGUGAAAUGCGUAGAUAUCGGGAGGAACACCUAUGGCGAAGGCAGCUCGCUGGGACGUUACUGACGCUGAGACGCGAAAGCGUGGGGAGCAAACAGG
rnacentral:rRNA from 1 species